CGCCUUAGGGCGGAGGUUUGCUACAGGCGACGUUGCCGCCUCGCCGCCGUCACCGGCCGGGACCUUGCGAACUGUACUGUAAGCUCACAAUAAACCGGGACUGGGCGCCUUCCGGGGCGCAGAGGGCCCCGCGCAAGGACAGUGUAGUUCUCGGCUGGGGUCGAGUUUCGCCCCUGCACAGAGAAGAGAUCAAACUCUAGGACGUACCCGUUAUAAUCACACAUGCAAAUUAUAAAGUUUUAAAGAUGGAAGCUGCAUUCUCAAAGCACCCACCUAAGCAGCUUCUGAAGUUAGAGAUUUGGUCUUCUGAAAAAGCAUUAGAAAACAAUUUCCCUUGAGCCUCAAUGCAAGAAAAAAAAAUGUCAGGUACUAUCAACAACUGACCCAGGAGUAAAACUAGAAGACAUUGAUCCCUGGAUUCAUAUUACACAACUAAAAAGACAUGCAUCAUUUUCUCCUGGCUACCGGACAUCCCAUACUAUUGGAAGACCUCAAACUGAAGAUUCCUGGGAGGAGGAAGUCCAGGUCAAAUAAGGAAGGAGGUAGAGCCCAGGGAUGCAGCUGUCAGACCUUGGAGAAGGAGCACUUGGAGACUAGAGUGCACAAGAUGGCUCAAAAGGGAUUAAGGAUGAAUGGAGAGAUGGGAGAUUUUGACCAGAAACUAAAAUA
rnacentral:lncRNA from 10 species